rfam:Stachybotrys chlorohalonata IBT 40285 unplaced genomic scaffold scaffold1601, whole genome shotgun sequence.
GGCAACGUGCCAGAGUGGUUAAUGGGUACCCCUCGAAAGGGUAUGACUUCGGUCGCACAGGUUCGAAUCCUGUCGUUGUCG